rnacentral:rRNA from 1 species
AUGCAUGCAUCGAGCAGAAUCAAAAGUCAUGAUGCCGGCGUGGGAUGCAUGCAUGCAGGUUCAAACCCUCUCUUUGGAGCCCUCCACUUGUCAAGCCCUAUCUUUGGCAAGUCUCACGACAUUUGGGUCGAAGGAGAAGGCAUGCUCCAUGCCGUGUACUUCACCAAGAGCAACAACAACACAUGGUCAAUCAAGUACACCAACCGCUACGUGCACUCCGAUACAUUUAGGGUUGAGAAAGGACUGAAGAAACCAUGCUUCCUCCCUGCCAUUGACGGUGACCCUCUUGCGAUGCUCAUAGCCGGUACCCUGAACAUUCUAAGGUUCGGAAAGGCUUUCAAGAACAUGAGCAACACCAGCGUGUUUGAGCAUGCUGGGAGAGUCUUCUCAGCAGCAGAAAAUGAUAACCCCCAUGAGAUUGACUUAUGUAGUCUUGGCACACUAGGUAGCUGGAACGUCGAUGGAGGAUGGAAGAUGCCAUUCACUUUGCACCCCAAGAGGUGA